CUGUUCCACAAUGAGAACUCAAUCAGGAAAGGCACAGGACACAGCAAGCAGCAACGAAGCAACCAUCAACCUCCUAUAUCUGAAAGAAGCACUCCAUUUCAACACUGCUCCGCGAGUGAGAAAUGCACAGGGCACUACUGGGUACCAGCCCUUCCUGAGGGGGGCUCCGGUCGGUAGUCCGAACUAAGCACCAUCCAGGUCGAUCACUUGGCCUCUCCAGUAGCUCCACAGUUUGUCCCACCUGUAUGCUCAGCUCAUUGUUGUGAAGAGCAAUAAAAUCCUGCAGAACCGUCGUCAGCUCACACCCUCCAGAUAACUGCAAGAGAAAGGAGACUGGCUCAGCCUAGCACAUAAUCACAGGGAUUUGCCAUCCCAUGUACAUGUGGCAUGGAUUAAUACCCUUUUCUGCCUCUACCCAUUUGGUUGUUAGGAUCAAUGAGCACAGAAACCAGAAUGAACUACAUCAUCUUUUUUAAGUUUUAGUUUAACUAAUUUGAAUAAUAUUAACAACAAGCCUUUAUGUUUGUACCAA